rnacentral:rRNA from 1 species
GAUGAACGCUGGCGGCGUGCCUAAUACAUGCAAGUCGAGCGAACAGACGAGGAGCUUGCUCCUCUGACGUUAGCGGCGGACGGGUGAGUAACACGUGGAUAACCUACCUAUAAGACUGGGAUAACUUCGGGAAACCGGAGCUAAUACCGGAUAAUAUAUUGAACCGCAUGGUCCAAUAGUGAAAGACGGUUUUGCUGUCACUUAUAGAUGGAUCCGCGCCGCAUUAGCUAGUUGGUAAGGUAACGGCUUACCAAGGCAACGAUGCGUAGCCGACCUGAGAGGGGGAUCGGCCACACUGGAACUGAGACGCGGUCCAGACUCCUACGGGAGGCAGCAGUAGGGAAUCUUCCGCAAGGGGCGAAAGCCUGACGGAGCAACGCCGCGUGAGUGAUGAAGGUCUUCGGAUCGUAAAACUCUGUUAUUAGGGAAGAACAAUUGUGUAAGUAACUAUGCACGUCUUGACGGUACCUAAUCAGAAAGCCACGGCUAACUACGUG